CCUCCUUACCUUAAAGACUAUAUUGAUGUAGUGUCCACACAGAUUAUUUGGUUAUUUUAAAGAUGCUCUUUAACAAUUUGGAAAGCUGACUAGUAAAAUAAUUCUAACGAAAGUUAGAAGAGUUCUCAAAAAGCAAACACAUCAAGUGUCUUGUAUUUUUAAGAUCCGGCGAAACAAAAAACCUUGGUUGUUUAGACAUACGUGAGACCCUUUGGGGUUGUAUGGUUAAGUGACUAAGCGUACACGGUGAAUGCCUUGGCAGUCAGAGGCGAUGAAGGACGUACUAACUUGCGAUAAGCGUAGAUNAGGCAGUAAGAGCCACUUGAGUCUACGAUUUCCGAAUGGGGA
rnacentral:misc_RNA from 1 species